rnacentral:tRNA from 4 species
UCUCGUGUCACCAGUUCAAAUCUGGUUCCUG